GACGAACGCUGGCGGCGUGCUUAACACAUGCAAGUCGAACGAAGAGCGAUGGAAGCUUGCUUCUCUCAAUCUUAGUGGCGAACGGGUGAGUAACGCGUAAUCAACCUGCCCUUCAGAGGGGGACAACAGUUGGAAACGACUGCUAAUACCGCAUACGAUCUAACCUCGGCAUCGAGGAAAGAUGAAAGGUGGCCUCUAUGUAUAAGCUAUCACUGAAGGAGGGGAUUGCGUCUGAUUAGCUAGUUGGAGGGGUAACGGCCCACCAAGGCGAUGAUCAGUAGCCGGUCUGAGAGGAUGAACGGCCACAUUGGGACUGAGACACGGCCCAGACUCCUACGGGAGGCAGCAGUGGGGAAUCUUCCGCAAUGGACGAAAGUCUGACGGAGCAACGCCGCGUGAGUGAUGACGGCCUUCGGGUUGUAAAGCUCUGUUAAUCGGGACGAAAGGCCUUCUUGCGAAUAGUGAGAAGGAUUGACGGUACCGGAAGAGAAAGCCACGGCUAACUACGUG
rnacentral:rRNA from 1 species